UGUAAUGCACUGGCUGGAGGAUG
rnacentral:misc_RNA from 1 species